GGGUGGGUAACUUAAAUGACCAGUGGCAGAUACAGCAAGGAUACAUUAAAGAAUGAAAGGAAACUUGUCCAGGGCAGAGACAGUGAUGGAUGAAAGAAUCUGUGAAAUGAGAUCCUGUUGUCAGCAAAAGAUUCCUGGCUCUAACGUCUAAGCUGGGUGAAUGGAGUUUGUCAACUUCUCAAAGAAAGCACCUGAAGGGAAGAAGAAAAGCAGGAACCCCAGCUAUCACCACAUCUCAUGUUGACUUUAGAACUAACUACUAAGUGUCCUCUCUCAGAGGUCUUCUCAUAACAUAUCACGAUUUCUCAUAGCAAGGAUUGGCCUUAGUUUACAAAAUGGAUAAAUCAUUUCAACAAAUUCCAUCUCUUGGGAGAGACUAAGUUUUAAGUCUCUUGGACACCUGGCACAUACUGGUUAUAAAAGCCACAUGCCGUUCCACCAUAUUUGAUCACUAUUUCCUAAGCAGUCAUAUGCACUAUACUGACACCUUCAUCCAAUUCUGUUUAGUUUUUUUUGAAUUUCUGGAAAUCACCUGCUUUUAUUAGAACUCAUACAUAGUCAAGCUGGCAAAAUUCAAACUUUGGAAUGGCAUUACUCAGAUUUGAAUCUCUUUCUGCUUCUAACUAUCAUGCCUCUGACAUUAGCCACUAUGUCCCAUCUAGUGACACUAUACAGUUAGUACAACUAAGAGAUGAUGAAGAAAACAAUGUAAACUAAUAAUAGUGAGUGUAAUGCAGGAUUUUCUACAGCUAAAUGAUAUUUAAAGAUCAUUGACCAACCUCAUUUUACAGGCAAUUAAACCAAGGCCAGGAAGGAGCAAUUUGUUUGCUGGCCGUUACCCAUCUUGCUAGUCAAAUGACCCGAUUGACUGAUGCUUCCUUAGUCCUCUUUUAUUUCUUUAAUACACUAAAAUGGAAAAGUGAUCCAGAGAAUGAUGCUUCAGUGAACAUGCUAAUUAUUUAAAAGAAAAAAAAAACAAACUUCUUUCCAUGCUAAUCCUUGAUAAGGAAAAUCUUUCUAAAGUCUAUGAGAACAUAUUUAUUUUUCCUGGCCUGUAAAUGACACAGCAAAGAGUAGUAAAACAAUAUAUAUAUAUAUAUAUAUGUAUAUAUAUAUGUUUAUGUGUAACAUACAUACAUACAUACAUACAUACAUACAUACAUACACACACACACACAAACAUGGUUCCUAGGGAAUCAUACUUUCUGGUACUUGUUCCUGAAUGUGACUCCCAUUAUUGAAUUCUAGCAACAUCACUGGGCCAAGGAGAUGCUCAGAUAUCUGGUUGAACACGGUUUUGAUAUAUUUGUGUGUUUCUAGACUUAAUUAGUAUUUGGAUUAAUAGUCUAAAUAAAGUAGCUCACCCUCGUUACCCUGUGUGAGCAUCAACCAAAACAGAGUGGCUGAACAGAAGCCAAAGAAAGAAGAAGAUUCGUUCCCUUUUCAACUGCAUGCUUGAAUUGAAAUAUCAAUGUCUGCCUGCUUUCUGUAGUCCUCGUCGUAGAGCUUCCAAUUAACACAGCAAUGUGCACCACCAGCUCUAUCUAGUAUCAGGUUUUAGAAUAUCUUGACCUCUACAACGGCAGUUGCUGAAACUGUAUAAUAAAUCUGCUGUAAUG